GGGAGGUGGUCGAAAACAUACCGGCAGGCAUGAAGUUCUCAGAGGACAAAAAUCUUAGGAAGAGGCGCUGCGGUUGUCUGAAACUUUCGUUGUACUUCAGUCCCGUGUUUCCGUCUUUUUGGGCUCAUUGGUGCUGCAGCUUUGAAGGCGCAGAAAGACCGUUUGCAAGUCCAGAGGAAGCAGAGGCAGUUGGUUUGGUGUGAGCAGCGCAUCAACUGAGUGACAGAGUGAACAACGACAAAUUAAUCGUUAAAGACCUCUGAAGUGGCAGGCGGCCACGAGUUUUCACGGCAUUUAAUAAAGAGCCCGUCUUAAGAAAGCCGUGCCAGAGUUGUCACUUUGGAGCUACAGUGAAAACUCGCCCAGCCAGCGCCUGUAGGAAGCUCAUUAAGAAGACGGCAGCUGCAGUGAGUGACGGUACCGUGGUGUAACACAAGAGGGCGCCAUUUGACAAGCUCACCGUUCACAAGAAGUCAAGCACAGCAGCAACAACCUUGUACAACUGAAGAUUUAUGUCCAGCAGAACAUGUAGAGCAACGAGCUGCAAAGUCAUACAGAUCAAUAAAGGCAUCAUUAUCCGCUCAGCAUGGCGUCUUCCCCUGGGUUAAGUGUUGACCCUUUACUCGUGCUUCAGCUCCACGACGAGGACUACAGCAAAGCUUCAGAGAGGCCGACCUCACCAGUACUUCACCCUACUAUGUACAGUCCUCCAAUGGGCAUAGAGAGCCACACCGUUUGCAUACCCUCUCCAUACACAGACAGUAGUCAUGACUACCAUGGACAUCCUCCCUUAACUUUCUACAGUCCUUCGGUGCUGAGCUAUACCAGAGCACCUAUCACUGACAGCCCACCAUCCAUGUGUCCCCCUAUGAGUCCCCCUUCCUUUUGGCCCUCUCACAAUCACCACAGCAUACCUUCUUUGACUCUGCACUGCACCCAACCUCUUGUCUACAAUGAACCAAACCCACAAGGACCCUGGCUUGAGUCAAAAUCCCAUGGCAUGAACCCCAACAGCUCUGUCAUCAGCUGUAACAAGCUGCAGAGGAAGAAAUCAGAAGAAGCAGGAGAAGGAAUAAAGUCCUCUGCAUGUUCAUCUGCUGUAGGGAAAGCUGACAUGCACUUCUGCGCUGUCUGCCAUGACUAUGCCUCUGGGUACCACUACGGUGUGUGGUCAUGUGAAGGUUGCAAAGCUUUUUUCAAGAGAAGUAUUCAGGGACACAAUGACUACAUUUGCCCUGCCACAAAUCAAUGCACUAUUGACAAGAACCGACGUAAAAGCUGCCAGGCCUGCCGCUUACGGAAAUGCUACGAAGUAGGCAUGAUGAAGUGUGGUGUCAGGCGUGAACGCUGCAGCUAUCGAGGGACCCGACAUCGCCGUAGUGGACUCCACCUUCGAGAUGCAGCAGGCAGGAGUUUGGUAAGGGUCGGGAUGGCUCCACAGGUUCAGCGCCUCCCCCCGAUGGAACUGUCCCUUCCCCCUCUGGCUCAGCCAAGCCAAGGUAACCAGCCAUUCAUGAGCCCAGCAGAGUUCAUCUCCCGAAUCAUGGAGGCAGAGCCCCCUGAGAUCUACCUCAUGGAGGACCUGAAGAAACCUUUCACUCAGGCUAGCAUGAUGAUGUCUCUUACCAACCUGGCGGACAAGGAGCUGGUACUCAUGAUCAGCUGGGCCAAAAAGAUUCCUGGCUUUGUGGAGUUAAGUCUAGCAGACCAAAUCCACCUGCUGAAGUGCUGCUGGCUGGAGAUCCUGAUGCUCGGUCUUAUGUGGAGGUCUGUGGAUCAUCCUGGGAAACUCAUCUUCUCUCCAGAUUUCAAACUCAGCAGGGAGGAGGGACAGUGUGUGGAGGGCAUCAUGGAGAUUUUCGACAUGCUUCUUGCAGCAACCUCUCGCUUUCGGGAGCUCAAGUUGCAGAGGGAGGAGUAUGUCUGCCUCAAGGCCAUGAUCCUGCUCAACUCUAAACACACCACUCUGCCAGGGUCUGCUCUCUAUUGAUUCUGCUCUGCUGCAGCUUGGCUGGUCUUCCAAAAGAGGACAAAUUGUGCAAGAAGAGAUAUGGUGAAAGGUGGAGGAAAAAUCCGGAGCAGUGGCAUUCACAUAAAGCUGCGUGUCAUCAGAAAUAGCAGUGAAUGGACAAACCAUGACGGUUGAUGACUUAACCAAUUGGGAAGGAGGUAAAGAAUAAAGAGGUUGGGACCAAGGAUUGAACCCUGAGGAAUACUGAGGAUGACUGUGUUUGGAUUUGAUGUGGACUAACUCAUGGCGAUUAAUUUUAUCUGAUUUGGGAGGUAAGUACUGGAACCAAUGGAGGGCAAUGUCAGUGCAUCUUGUGUUGAGUUGAAGCUGGUUGAAUAAGAUGCCAUGAUCGACUGUUGAAAGCAGCAGGAGGAUGAGGAGGGAGGGAGAGUCAGCAUCAUAUUACAUCAGGAGGUCAUUUCCGACUCACAAGCGCGGUCUCUGUGCUGUAUGAUAUGAAGGGCAGAUUGGAUAUAGGUCUGUAAUUUGAAAGGACUUCUGGGUCAAGAGUGGAUUUUUUGAAGCAUGAUCUGAUUUUGGCUAUCUUUAAGAUGAAGGGGUCAUGACCAGAUUAGAGAGAGUGGUUUUUAAGAGAGGUAUCGGAGAACUUGAGGCGGUGAUUUGUGAUUUUUCGAAGGAGGCUGGGUAAGGCUCACAAGUGGAGGGUUUCAUCUUUCUCAUGAUGUCAAAACAUCAUGAGAAAAAACAUCUUUUGAUAAAAUCAGGGGGAAACAGUUCAGAGGUUUGAAGAUGGCAGAUGUAGGUGGAGAAGCAGCUUGGGCGGAGGGACCAGAGACAUGGUCUCCAGCAAAGGAAGACUGUUAACUGUUUCUAUGGAAAUCAGAUCUAGAUCAAACAGAUCUAGAUCUAACAAAUCUAGAUCUAAAUGUGAGGAAAGGAAAUGAGGAAUUGUUUGUGUGUGUUGCUUUGAUGUAUGCACAAACAAAUAUGAAGCGAGAGGUAUCCACAAUGAUCAAUUCUAUCAAGAUGACCAUGAUAUUAACUUGUACUUAUUAAUGUUUUUCUAUGUUUUAAGAUCAACUGUGUGUGCCCCAAAGUAGGCAAUUAAAAAUGCUGAGUAAUUGAGAAGGUAAGUCAAGCUGCUAUCAGUUGGAGCCACUGAUGGCAGUAUUUAGCAUGCUUAGGUCAGUAAAUCUUUGACAAUAUUGUAGGUUUUAUGAGUUUGACUUUGGGUUGAAUUUACUGGGAUAGGGCUGCCAAGGACAGUGUUGUUGAGUUAAAAAUGUAUGUAAAAUAUGUUUGUUUGU